AGUGAACGCUGGCGGUAGGCCUAACACAUGCAAGUCGAACGGCAGCACAGUAAGAGCUUGCUCUUACGGGUGGCGAGUGGCGGACGGGUGAGGAAUACAUCGGAAUCUACUUUUUCGUGGGGGAUAACGUAGGGAAACUUACGCUAAUACCGCAUACGACCUACGGGUGAAAGCAGGGGAUCUUCGGACCUUGCGCGAUUGAAUGAGCCGAUGUCGGAUUAGCUAGUUGGCGGGGUAAAGGCCCACCAAGGCGACGAUCCGUAGCUGGUCUGAGAGGAUGAUCAGCCACACUGGAACUGAGACACGGUCCAGAAUCCUACGGGAGGCAGCAGUGGGGAAUAUUGGACAAUGGGCGCAAGCCUGAUCCAGCCAUACCGCGUGGGUGAAGAAGGCCUUCGGGUUGUAAAGCCCUUUUGUUGGGAAAGAAAAGCAGCAGGUUAAUACCCCGCUGUUCUGACGGUACCCAAAGAAUAAGCACCGGCGAACUUCGU
rnacentral:rRNA from 1 species